GAUGAACGCUGGCGGCGUGCCUAAUACAUGCAAGUCGAGCGAACAGACGAGGAGCUUGCUCCUCUGACGUUAGCGGCGGACGGGUGAGUAACACGUGGAUAACCUACCUAUAAGACUGGGAUAACUUCGGGAAACCGGAGCUAAUACCGGAUAAUAUAUUGAACCGCAUGGUUCAAUAGUGAAAGACGGUUUUGCUGUCACUUAUAGAUGGAUCCGCGCCGCAUUAGCUAGUUGGUAAGGUAACGGCUUACCAAGGCAACGAUGCGUAGCCGACCUGAGAGGGUGAUAGGCCACACUGGAACUGAGACACGGUCCAGACUCCUACGGGAGGCAGCAGUAGGGAAUCUUCCGCAAUGGGCGAAAGCUUGACGGAGCAACGCCGCGUGAGUGAUGAAGGUCUUCGGAUCGUAAAACUCUGUUAUUAGGGAAGAACAAAUGUGUAAGUAAAUAUGCACGUCUUGACGGUACCUAAUCAGAAAGCCACGGCUAACUACGUG
rnacentral:rRNA from 1 species